rnacentral:rRNA from 1 species
CCUACGGGAGGCAGCAGUGAGGAAUAUUGGUCAAUGGGCUUACGCCUGAACCAGCCAAGUCGCGUGAGGGAAGACUGCCCUAUGGGUUGUAAACCUCUUUUGUCAGGGAGCAACGCCGGCUACGUGUAGCCGGACUGAGAGUACCUGAAGAAAAAGCAUCGGCUAACUCCGUGCCAGCAGCCGCGGUAAUACGGAGGAUGCGAGCGUUAUCCGGAUGUAUUGGGUUUAAAGGGUGCGUAGGCGGAAUGCCAAGUAAGCGGUAAAAUCGCGGGGCUAAACCUCUCUCCGCCGUUGAAACUGGCGUUCUUGAGGGGGAGGGAAGUAUGCGGAAUGCGUGGUGUAGCGGUGACAUGCAUAGAUAUCACGAAGAACUCCGAUUGCGAAGGCAGCAUACCGGCGCCCAACUGACGCUGAAGCACGAAAGCGUGGGUAUCGAACAGGAUUAGAUACCCGUGUAGUC